GGGAGUACGGCCGCAAGGUUAAAACUCAAAUGAAUUGACGGGGGCCCGCACAAGCGGUGGAGCAUGUGGUUUAAUUCGAUGCAACGCGAAGAACCUUACCUGGUCUUGACAUCCAGGUGCUGCAUGGCUGUCGUCAGCUCGUGUUGUGAAAUGUUGGGUUAAGUCCCGCAACGAGCGCAACCCUUAUCCUUUGUUGCAACUCAAAGGAGACUGCCAGUGAUAAACUGGAGGAAGGUGGGGAUGACGUCAAGUCAUCAUGGCCCUUACGACCAGGGCUACACACGUGCUACAAUGGCGCAUACAAAGAGAAGCGACCUCGCGAGAGCAAGCGGACCUCAUAAAGUGCGUCGUAGUCCGGAUUGGAGUCUGCAACUCGACUCCAUGAAGUCGGAAUCGCUAGUAAUCGUGGAUCAGAUGCCACGGUGAAUACGUUCCCGGGCCUUGUACACACCGCCCGUCACACCAUGGGAGUGGGUUGCAAAAGAAGUAGGUUACCACUUUGUGAUUCAUGACUGGGGUGAAGCGUAACAAGUAACCAAGG
rnacentral:rRNA from 1 species